rnacentral:rRNA from 1 species
UACGUAGGGUGCGAGCGUUGUCCGGAAUUACUGGGCGUAAAGAGCUCGUAGGCGGCCUGUUGCGUCCGCUGUGAAAGCCCGGGGCUUAACCCCGGGUCUGCAGUGGAUACGGGCAGGCUAGAGGUAGGUAGGGGAGAAUGGAAUUCCCGGUGUAGCGGUGAAAUGCGCAGAUAUCGGGAGGAACACCGGUGGCGAAGGCGGUUCUCUGGGCCUUACCUGACGCUGAGGAGCGAAAGCGUGGGGAGCGAACAGG